CCUACGGGAGGCAGCAGUGAGGAAUAUUGGUCAAUGGACGGGAGUCUGAACCAGCCAAGUAGCGUGAAGGAUGACUGCCCUAUGGGUUGUAAACUUCUUUUAUAAAGGAAUAAAACGCGCCACGUGUGGCUUUUUGCAUGUACUUUAUGAAUAAGGAUCGGCUAAAUCCGUGCCAGCAGCCGCGGUAAUACGGAGGAUCCGAGCGUUAUCCGGAUUUAUUGGGUUUAAAGGGAGCGUAGACGGGUUGUUAAGUCAGUUGUUAAAGUUUGCGGCUCAACCGUAAAAGUGCAAUUGAAACUGGCAGUCUUGAGUACAGUUGAGGUAGACGGAAUUCGUGGUGUAGCGGUGAAAUGCUUAGAUAUCACGAAGAACCCCGAUUGCGAAGGCAGUUUACUAAACUGUGACUGACAUUGAGGCUCGAAAGUGCGGGUAUCAAACAGGAUUAGAUACCCGGGUAGUC
rnacentral:rRNA from 1 species